GGUGCUGCCCCCCUCCAAAGAGGAGCUGCGGCAGGGGAGGGCCACGCUCAUGUGCCUGGCCAACAAGGGCUUCCCCUCAGACUGGAGGCUGGCCUGGAAGGUGGACGGCAGCAGCAGCAGCAGCAGCAGCAGCUGGGAGCAGAGCAGGAGCCCCGGGGUGCUGGAGAAGGACGGCCUCUACAGCUGGAGCAGCACCCUGAGGCUCACUGCAGACCAGUGGAGGAAGCUGGGCUCUGUCACCUGUGAGGCCACCCAGGGCUCCCAGUCUCCGCAGGUCGAGACACUGAGGAGAGACCAGUGUCCCCAGUAA